ACGUAGGUGGCAAGCGUUGUCCGGAUUUACUGGGCGUAAAGAGCGCGCAGGCGGUCUUUUAAGUCAGGUGUGAAAGCCCCCGGCUUAACUGGGGAAGUGCACUCGAUACUGAUAGUCUAGAAUGCGGGAGAGGGUGAUGGAAUUCCUGGUGUAGUGGUGAAAUGCGUAGAUAUCAGGAGGAACACCAGUGGCGAAGGCGACUACCUGGCCUGUUCUUGACGCUGAGGCGCGAAAGCGUGGGGAGCAAACAG
rnacentral:rRNA from 1 species